GCUUCUGGACAUCGGGGCAUGAAGGGUACAAAAGGGCCCAGAGGGCAUAAGGGUGACAGAGGCAGCAGAGGGCUUCUUGGACCCCAAGGUGAUCCUGGCUUUAAGGGAGAAGACGGCCCUGUGGGACUACCUGGGGGGCUAGGACCAAAG